AUAAACGCUGGCGGCGCACAUAAGACAUGCAAGUUGAACGGACUUAAUCGAAAUAUUUAUAUUUUGAAGCGGUUAGUGGCGGACUGGUGAGUAACGCGUAAGGAACCUGCCUAUUAGAGGGGAAUAACAGUGAGAAAUCAUUGCUAAUACCGCAUAUGCCAUAGAUAUCACAUGAUAACAGUGGGAAAGGAGCAAUCCGCUAAUAGAUGGCCUUGCGGCUGAUUAGAUAGUUGGUGGGGUAACGGCCUACCAAGUCGACGAUCAGUAGCCGGACUGAGAGGUUGAACGGCCACCUUGGGACUGAGAUACGGCCCAGACUCCUACGGGAGGCAGCAGUCGGGAAUAUUGCGCAAUGGAGGUAACUCUGACGCAGUGACGCCGCGUAUAGGAAGAAGGUUUUCGGAUUGUAAACUGUUGUCGUUAGGGAAGAGAAAGGACAGUACCUAAGGAGUAAGCUCCGGCUAACUACGUG
rnacentral:rRNA from 1 species